UGGUGUUAAAGGGAAAAGAGAGCAACUUUUUCUUCCUUUGCAUUUCAAGGGCUCUGUGAGAGGAGAUGCAUUGAGGAAUGGGAGUGUGAGCCCUCCUAUCAAGGGCUCCCGUGCAGGGUGUUGGUAUAUCAGUGCAACCGCUAGCAGGGCACGUUUGUUCAGUAGGUGCAUCAGCAGUGGGGCAGACGUGCGCUACUGUCCACAGUCACAGUGGUGACCUCCAGAAGAGGAGCUGCAGCUACGUGGGUGGAAAAUGUGCUUUGCUUGGUGGAGGGCUUAUCUCACCCCAGCUCCAGGACUGGCGGGACCCCUCUGAGAGCUGAUUUAACUCCCAAGGAUGGGAGAACACCAACCCGACCAGGGCCCAGGCACUCGUCCUGAGUUAAUGAACUGAGAUGGCUUGGGGAAAGUCUGCUCUGGAUUCAUCCCACCCUAAAUUUGCCCGAGGUCCUGACUCCGGAGCACAGACAUCCUCGGGCUCCCUCUGUUGUCGAUGGAGUGAAGCACCUGCAGAAGGUGGCCC